AAAAAAAUGAAGUUUCCUGAUGAUUCAGUUUGACAUCCUUCUCUACCCACCUCCAUCCAGCACCGCCUCCCACCCAGCUGCCUCAUGCACUUGACUUCCAGGGGCCAUGGUAUUCAGACAGGAGUAGACCAGCUGGGUCUUUCUGUCAAUCAGCUCUUCUUGGUGGAGGUGGGGAAGGGGGAUGAUGAGGGGAGGGGGAUGAUGAGGAGAAGGAGCGGGGGUGGGGACGGGGCAGCUCCCUGAUACCGAUGGGUACACAGCAAAAAAUGAAAUGUAAAUUUUCAAUGGAGUACAGAACUGAAUCUUUUUUUUUUAUUUAUUUAUUUUUUAUUGAUAAUUCUUGGGUGUUUCUCACAGAGGGGGAUUUGGCAGGGUCAUAGGACAAUAGUGGAGGGAAGGUCAGCAGAUAAACAAGUGAACAAAGGUCUCUGGUUUUCCUAGGCAGAGGACCCUGCGGCCUUCCGCAGUGUUUGUGUCCCUGGGUACUUGAGAUUAGGGAGUGGUGAUGACUCUUAACGAGCAUGCUGCUUUCAAGCAUCUGUUUAACAAAGCACAUCUUGCACCGCCCUUAAUCCAUUUAACCCUGAGUGGACACAGCACAUGUUUCAGAGAGCACAGGGUUGGGGGUAAGGUCACAGAUCAACAGGAUCCCAAGGCAGAAGAAGUUUUCUUAGUACAGAACAAAAUGAAAAGUCUCCCAUGUCUACUUCUUUCUACACAGACACGGCAACCAUCCGAUUUCUCAAUCUUUUCCCCACCUUUCCCCCCUUUCUAUUCCACAAAGCCGCCAUUGUCAUCCUGGCCCGUUCUCAAUGAGCUGUUGGGUACACCUCCCAGACGGGGUGGUGGCCGGGCAGAGGGGCUCCUCACUUCCCAGUAGGGGCGGCCGGGCAGAGGCGCCCCUCACCUCCCGGACGGGGCGGCUGGCCGGGCGGGGGGCUGACCCCCCAACCUCCCUCCCGGAUGGGGGGGCUGGCCGGGCGGGGGGCUAACCCCCCCACCUCCCUCCCGGUCGGGGCGGCUGGCCGGGCUGGGGGCUGACCCCCCCACCUCCCUCCCGGACGGGGCGGCUGGCCGGGCGGGGGGCUGACCCCCCCACC
rnacentral:lncRNA from 1 species